CGAAUAAAUCUAGAAAUUACCAAUUUAUUAGUAGCAAUUUAUUAAAAGAAAUUGAGAAUUUUAUUUAACUUUAUUCUAUUUAAACUGCGAAUAGAAAAUAUUUGAAACUGUUCACUUACAACCAGCAUACAACGUUGAAACAAGAACGGACUUUAUCUCAACGUUGAAGGUCGGACGUAUGCCGGCUGGGCACGAUCCAUUCACAGACAAUCCAGAGCCACAGAAUGACAGAGAAGAAAGAAAGGGGUCAGAAGGAAAAGAAAAACAGAGGUUGUUCUGCCUGCUCCUCCGAUGGCCUCGCUGGGUGGUUUGUCUGUUUAUUUAGUCUGUGGAGGUGAUGGGAACUGAGCAUUGGCCUCUGCCAAUUUUCUCCACACUGAGAAAAUAUUCAUGUGGACAGCUGGAAGCCAGAGAGCGGAGUCAAACAGACUCGGGGCCAACAGAUACAAGACCCAGCUCGCAUGAAACACAUUUCCAAAUUGAAAAGCCCAGCAAAAACUCCUUCAGCUCUCUCGUCUUCUUUAAAAUGCAUGGUGGAUAACCAAAUUGAAGAAACUAUGUCUGUAACAAGCCAGCACUGCUUUUAGAUAUUCUGAGUGUUGUUUCAGAAGCAAAGCUAGGUAGUUGCAUCCCAUAUUACAAAACUGAAUUCAAAUGAUUUCAGUCUCUUAAAACUAGAAUCAACACUCAAGGUCUCAGGAAGUUAAUUGAGGUUUGUCUGAGGCGAACCUCCAAGUCCCUAGUAAUGGUCUCUGAUCAUUUGAAAUCAGACUAAAAAGGAUUGAACAAAACGUUUAUUUAACAACAACAACAAAAAAUGUUAAUCAGUUCACUACAUCAUGCCUGACAUAUUAAAAUAUACAUUCUUGGCCAUUUCUUUUUUUUAUUUUUACGAUGAAAUAGAUUUAACGAGACAUGAACAAGCAAAACAGCACUGGACAGCAACUAUACAUUGAUAAUUAGAUUUCACGAAUGACAAUUUAUUACGUAAAACUAAUAUAGCGUCAUGUGUACAUCAAAUGUAGUGAUAGAACAAGAUGUAUGUAUAUUCCCCAUUUUAGUGCAAUAUAUGUAAAUAGUUGGAGGGGGGUGGGAAAUGCCACCCAAAGAGCUCAGAGGAAGCAGUCGAGCUCUUAGGCCUCACACAGAGAUGUGGGGCCACCCACUCACAGGCCGAUUUUGUUUAUUUUCAUCCUUUGAGGUAAACUGUUCAGUGUGAGCUGUUUAUUAGGCCUUUGAUUUGUCAGCUUGUGCUUGCAGGGCAAGUGUAUACACUGGUUGUGGCUUGUAUAUAGUGGUGGUUUGGAGGUCAAGGCUGGGGGGUGAUGGGAAGGGUGGGUGGUAUGAGGCAUCACUCAAACCGCCUCUCAUUUUGGCGUCAUCAGAAAAAAAAAAAAAAAAAA